GUAAGGAAUAUUGCACAAUGGGCGCAAGCCUGAUGCAGCAACGCCGCGUGCGCGAGAAGGCCUUCGGGUCGUAAAGCGCUUUUCGGGCUGAAGAGGAAGGACGGUAGGCCCGGAAGAAGUGUCGGCUAACUACGUGCCAGCAGCCGCGGUAAAACGUAGGACGCAAGCGUUAUCCGGAGUUAUUGGGCGUAAAGAGCGGGCAGGCGGUGUCCCAAGUCUGACGUGAAAGCUCCCGGCUCAACCGGGAGAGGCCGUUGGAAACUGGGAGACUGGAGGACGGUAGAGGAGCGCAGAAUUCCGGGUGAAGCGGUGAAAUGCGUAGAUAUCCGGAGGAAUACCAGUGGCGAAGGCGGCGCUCUGGGCCGCGCCUGACGCUGAACCGCGAAAGCGUGGGGAGCGAACGGGAUUAGAAACCCUAGUAGUCC
rnacentral:rRNA from 1 species